UACAGAGGGUGCGAGCGUUGUCCGGAAUCACUGGGCGUAAAGGGCGCGUAGGCGGCCGCUUAAGCGUGUCGUGAAAGCGCGGGGCUCAACCCCGCCGUCGGCGAUGCGAACUGGGGCUGGAGCAUGUCAGAGGCAGGCGGAAUUCCGGGUGUAGCGGUGGAAUGCGUAGAGAUCCGGAAGAACACCGGAGGCGAAGGCGGCUGCUGGCGUGAUCUGACGCUGAGGCGCGAAGCGUGGGAGCGAACAGG
rnacentral:rRNA from 1 species